GUAUCACUGUGGUACACUUUUGGUGGAGGAACCAAACUCAUCAUUAACUCUGGCACCAUGGUCAGGCCCUCAGUCUCUCUGCUUCCCCCCUCCUCUGAGCAGCUCUCUGGGGGCUCGGCCACGCUGGCCUGCCUGCUGACCGGCUACUCUCCUCAGGGAGCCGUGGUGAGCUGGCAGGUGGACGGUACGGAGGUGACGGAGGGGGUCCUGAGCAGCUCAGAGGAGGAGAAGAGCGGCCGCUACAGCAGCAGCAGCACCCUGAGCCUGAGCCAGGAGCGCUGGAUGGAAGGAGAGCUGUACUCCUGCAGGGUCCUCCAUCAGGGCCACAGCCAGACCCAGUCCCUCCACAGGAGCCAGUGUAAGGGCUAGAGGGGCCGGCUGAAGCCCAGGACAGGAGCUCUGUGUGGGGGGGAGCAGCUCUGAUCAAUAGCAGUUUGAAUGCUUGUAGAGGAAACUGAAGCUUUGUGUGACAGAGAACAACACUGCUGUAAAGUGUUGGACAACAACAACUUAGAGAGGAAUGUGUGUCGCUCAGCAGC